CAAGACAUUCCUGAGACAUGAUUC
rnacentral:miRNA from 1 species